AGAGUUUGAUCCUGGCUCAGAUUGAACGCUGGCGGAAUGCUUUACACAUGCAAGUCGAACGGCAGCAUAGGUGCUUGCACCUGAUGGCGAGUGGCGAACGGGUGAGUAAUACAUCGGAACGUGCCCAGUCGUGGGGGAUAACGUAGCGAAAGUUACGCUAAUACCGCAUACGAUCUACGGAUGAAAGCGGGGGACCGUAAGGCCUCGCGCGAUUGGAGCGGCCGAUGUUAGAUUAGGUAGUUGGUGGGGUAAAGGCUCACCAAGCCGACGAUCUAUAGCUGGUCUGAGAGGAUGAUCAGCCACACUGGGACUGAGACACGGCCCAGACUCCUACGGGAGGCAGCAGUGGGGAAUUUUGGACAAUGGGCGCAAGCCUGAUCCAGCCAUUCCGCGUGCAGGACGAAGGCCUUCGGGUUGUAAACUGCUUUUGUACAGAACGAAAAGGUUUCUAUUAAUACUAGGGGCUCAUGACGGUACUGUAAGAAUAAGCACCGGCUAACUACGUGCCAGCAGCCGCGGUAAU
rnacentral:rRNA from 1 species